rnacentral:rRNA from 1 species
CCUACGGGCGGCAGCAGUGAGGAAUAUUGGUCAAUGGGCGGAAGCCUGAACCAGCCAAGUAGCGUGCAGGAUGACGGCCCUACGGGUUGUAAACUGCUUUUAUACGGGAAUAACGCGCCUUACGUGUAGGGCUUUGCAUGUACCGUAUGAAUAAGGACCGGCUAAUGCCGUGCCAGCAGCCGCGGUAAUACGGAGGGUGCGGGCGUUAUCCGGAUUUAUUGGGUUUAAAGGGAGCGUAGGCCGCAUGUCAAGUGGGAUGUGAAAUGUCCGGGCUCAACCCGGGCCUUGCAGUGCGAACUGGCAGGAGUGAGUCGUGGAGAGGGGGGUAGAAGUAGAGGUGGAGCGGUGAAAGGCGUAGAGAGCGGGAGG